CUUCUCAUGGAAACAACCUAAUUACAAAAGAGCUAUAAAGCAGGUUUGGGGCUUGGAGCACCCUUUGGAAGCUGCUCUCAGGCCUAGGGAUGGGUGAAAGCUCGUUGGCUGCAAUGGCUUGGGGCAUACAGGCUCUGGUCCAGCUGGAGGGGAUGAGGAUGGGAAUGCUGCAGCAGCCAGACCCCAGGGGAGGAGGAAGGCUCCUUCUUGCUCAGCUGUUUGCCACCAAGGAUGUCCCUCAGAGCCUGAAUGUUGUGCCUGCCUUUGUGCCUAGCCCAGUCACUCCCAGCUUCCUCAGCACCUCCCUCCCAGACGCCCCUGGCACAGGUCCCUUUCUCCUCCGUGGCCACACCACCCCUCGGGACGUUGGGAUAGCAACUCCAGCACUGCCCAAGCAGAGCUCUCUCCAAAGGGACACUCAAAAGUCGUAAGGAUGUGGAUCUUAAUGUCCACCCAAAAUGUGCUGCAGGACAGGUUUGCUGCCAUCCAGACCACAGCUGGGCCACUUCUAUCAGAAACAGAGCUCAACUGGUUCCAUCUAAGCUGGAGACAGAACAGGGUUUGGCCCCACUGUAACAGCAGUGACGCUGAAUGCCCCACAGGGGUGCUGGAGCUGCUCUUGCUCAGGAGCUCACCUGUGCCUCCUCUUCCAGGCAGGAGCACCCAGGCUGGCUGCAUCACCUCCCCACUGGACCACCCCAACAGCCCAUGCAGGGCUCCAGCCUGGAGCUCUGGGAGGCUGAUCACAGCUCCCUGGGCAGAAUGGCUGCUCUGAGGGGCUCUAGCUGGAUCUGCAGACAGACAAGGGGAGAGAAGUCAGGUUUGUGAGCUUUGUGCCUUCUCAUUGCAGCUUCCUUGGCUAGUGGAGACAGGGAUCUGACUGAGAUUUCCACCCCUCCAUCUCACCACACUUUUCAGUUUGUCUCCUCACCCCUCAGUUAAUUCCAGCUGCCCCGAAGGACACAGGAGGCAUCCUCCAAAGACUCCAACCUGCAGGGAAGCACUGGAGGCCAGAAGAAGCAAAACAAGAUAAUGAAGCUGGAGAGGCAAUUGCCAAGAUAGGGCUGCCAAAGAAUUGAGAAGCUGCAGCUCCUGCAGUGGGAGCCUUCAGCCCAGAGAGGCAGGCACAAAGCUGCCAAAGAAAGCAGCCUUUCAUGGAGCUGAAGGUCACCCCUGGGCUGGCUGCAGGGGGACAGAGAGCAGCCACCACGGUCACCAUGGUGCUGGAAAUGUCAUGUCCAGGCAGAGCAUUCGUUUUGCUCAUCCAUUGUCUGCUCUGCUAAAGAAAGCCCUGCUGGAGGAUGAACUUCGUGGGAAGUUCUCUCCCUGCUGCUAACUUGGUGCAGUAAUAAUAACAAUAAAAAAAUAAAGGGCAGUAAUAAAGAGAAUGCAGCAUGGAGAUGCAGGCAGAGCCAGGAGGUCAAGGUGGGAAAAAAGGAAAAAAGGAAGGAGGGAGGGGAGAGAAGACCCAAAACUACACCAAACAACCCAUCAGCAGCGGCUCGACGAGGAGGAGAAGCGCUCAGGGCUGAGAAAUAAUGGUUUGAAGUUCACAUCAUUAUCAGAGGUACGUGCCCCACAUCCGCAAUGCUCUCUGAAGUGCAGCCGAGCUGGGACGCGUGAGGCGCCGCGGAGGCAGCACGGGGGGGGACAGAGUCUCUGCUCCGGGGACCGGAGAGCCACAGCAGGGGCGGCAGAGCCAAAGCAAGGACUGGAGAGCCGCAGCAGGGACGGCAGAGCCGCAGCAGAGACCCGCACAAAGCGGCGCAGCUCAGCGCCCCACGGGCUUCUGAGAGGGACCUCGCAGCGGGUCAGGGUCCUCGGCGCAGCUCCUGCCAGCGCUCGGCUCAGGGCUGAGGGCCCGAGGAGCUUGAGCUGCUCUUGUCUGACUGCAAAGGAGGUCCUUCACAGAGGUGGAUGUGAGCUGCACUGAGAUGAAGAUCUGGAUGUGGAGCUCCCCCAGGCUUUGUGGGCAGCAGGAACAUCAGGGCCAGCUCUUGGCUGAGUUUGCCACAGGAGUGUGUCCACCUCCUUGUGUCCCACCCUCAGCUGUGACCUGUAGUGAUGCUUCCGACAAGGGAAAUUCAGCUGCAGCAGGCAGAGUCUGAGAAGGUGAGGAGAGGAACAUCCAAAAGCUUCACCUCAAGGUGCCACCUGGCCAGAUCUGAAAGUGCAGUGUUGCCUUGCUUGGGUGAAGCCAUCUUAGCUCUGGUGGCCUGAGCAUCACCAGGGCUCUGCCCACUCGUGGGGCUGGCUGUGUUUUACAGCUGAGGGGAGCCCUGAAAGCAUGAGCAGCACAUCCCAAGCAGGAUCUCUUGGUCUUGGAUUCCUGGAGCCAGAGGUGAAGCUGAGCUGGGGAGGUCUGUGGUUGCAGACCUCUGCCUUGGCAGGGGCAGGGAGGGGUUUGGGCUGAGAUCUCCUGUGUUUGGCUUUGGCACUUCGGCCUUUCAGAUUUGUCUGGGGAACAGCAAUAACAAAAGGGUCCAAACAGCUAAAGGUCUGUGGCCAAGCAAGGAGGGGACCAAAGGAUUCCAGGGCUGGGACCUCCCACCCGCAGAUGGGGAUGAGCUCCACCACGGCCACUCGGGUGACUCCUGGUGCCCCUCGUCUGUGCUGAUGCUCAGAUGGCAUCGUGAGGAUGCUUCGUGGGGGUGCCAG